GCCUUGACGCAUCAGUGUCAUACGUAUUUAUUCGUAAUAAUUUUUUUUAUAGUAUAUUGUUCUUUAACAUCAAGGAUUUAUAAGAAUGAGACUGGGCCAUUGCUGCACUCCCGCCCACUUAAAAAAAAUCCAUGUUCCAGACUCCUCUCUGUGUGAAUGUGGAGUAGACGAAGAAAUGCCACCCACACCUGGCCAAACUUCUGAAAAGCCGCCAACUGUAGCUGGUGUUGCUGUACUCGCUGCUGGUAGUGCUGUGGCCGGAGUUAUUGGAUCUCUUGUCGGGUGGGCUUCGGGCCAGGGUGGAAAAAAUAAGUAGUUAUUUACUGCUCUUGCAGCAUUAUGAUGAUUGUAUGAAAUAAAAAAUAGGAAUAAAUAUGUUGUUUUUUUUAUAAGUACAAAAAUACUUAAAUCUUUCUUGGUCUCGCUUCACACACCUUACAAAUCAGUCGUCCUAGCUGGCUGCCUAACUAGGAUCCAAAAAAAUCCUAUUUAGUGCAGUCAGACUCUUCCUAUAUAAAGGCGGUUACACUUACGAUUUAGGAUUCUGAAUUAAGUAACAUGUGUGAAGCGCUUUACAAAUAUUUAUUAAUGUGUAAGUUUAAAUGUGUGUUAGUUGAAUUAUACACAGAUUUUAAAACAAAAGUUGUCAUUCAUGUGAGCAUAAAGUGUGUCUAAAGGCCCAUCCAGAGGGAAUGAUCAAAUUGACCAAGUUUAUCUGAAAAUAAAUUGGCGUCAAUUUCAUCUAGCGUCCACAUGUACACAAUUUAAUCACCAAUCUUAGAUCAAAAUAAAACAAAUGCUCUCAAACGCGCAAACUAGUGUCGAAAAUUGGCAUUCUUUCGUCCGUACCUCUGUUUGAUCAGUCGUAAUCUUACAAUCGAAUGUGAGCCAAUUUCAUUUUUGCGUUCACACCACCUGAUUUCAGCAGACAAUUUUAUCAGAUCAGGGAAAAAAUAGUUACGUCUGGACUGACCUUAAGCUAACUUUGCACCGACAUAACAAAGUAAGGAGUGUCAUUAUUUAACGACAUAUUUUCAUAGAAAUUUGACAUUAAUGAUGGCAAUGCAAUCAUUACACAUGGUAUGCAGAAUUCGAUUAGACUUGCGUGUCUAUAGGCACAAUGGUGGUCGACUUGCGAAAAAUGCUCAGAAGCACUAACUAGAUUGUCCGACUCUAGCAUGUUUAUUAAUUUUGAAAUGGCAACACCGGGCGAAACUAUCGAGGUUAUUUCUACAGACUGAUAUCAUAUAUAUGCUACGCACAUACAAGUAUAGUAUGUAUUACGUAGUAGUUACUUAUAAUUAUCUACGUCAGUGUUGCCAGGCGUACGAUAAUUAUCGUACAUGUACGAUAAUUUGGGCUCCGGUACGAUGUACGUUCCAAAAAGCAUUGUCGUACGUAUUUGAAGCAAAAUACGACACUUUCCCUCAGAAAUUGGCCACAAUUAGCCACCUUUUGGGUGUUCGGCUUCUUGGUGUCAGUCAAAAAUGUCGAAAUUUCCUGUAAGCCGUUCGGAUCUGUCACAAACAUAUAAAAAUAUUAAACUGAUGUUUUAGCAUUUUAGACGAAAAUUUACAUUGGACCAUAGCUUAUUUUGCAAGAAAUUUUAGGGGUAGUGCUGUUUUGACAGGCAUACGAUUUUUUUCAUCGGAUCGAUAAUUUUAGAACUCAAAUACGAUAAUUCUCUUCCACUAACCUGGCAACACUGAUCUACGUAUUAUUUCAGUGUCUGCGGAAUGUCGACUAAACCACUCGCCAACGGAGUGCAUUUGUUUAUUUAGUGUAAUUGUGUAAUAUUGCGAUAUGGAAGGGGACGCGAAUAAUGCAGCACCUGAUGCCGUCGUUGGAGAAGUCAUUCAUAAUGGUAUCAGAAUAGGUGCAGGUGUCGCUAGGCCGGUUCAGCGAGUGGUCGGUGCAGCGACCGGCACGGCUGUGGGAGCGGCCGUGGGUGGGCUGUCCGGCGGCCCGGCGGGCGCCGUCGUCGGCGGCGUUGUCGGAUACUUCGUCAGCCGUCAAGCCGUCAGGGAUGACCAUCAGGAUUAACGAGCAGACGAGACUACGACACAUACGUACGGAAUGUCAAACAGAAUUAUAUAAAUAUAUACAUGCAUAGAGAUAAAGAACGAUAAGCGUGACCAUCUGUUGCUUUGAACUACUUAAUAAAUAAAGUGAUUAUAUUGAAACAGUGUAAUUUGAAUAAAUGUAUACUUCAAUCGAUAGCUGGAUCAAUUAUUUAAAUCUUAAUUAGGUAUCCCAUCUAGGGAAUGUCAUCUCGAUCUCGUGAAAUCUCGAGCGGAUUUUCGAGAUUCAAUCUCGUUGACAGAAAAUAUCGGACUUUACAAACUUGAUCGAGAACUCGAAUAAUAUUUUUGAGAUACAAGCGAGAUUGAAAAAUUGACGCUUGUAUAUAACUUUGUUUUGACCCAGGAACGAAAAGAAUUUUGAUCCAGGUUCUGAUAUUAAAUGGGACUGGUUUUGACUAACGAUAAAAGCGCUAUGGCGCGUUUUGUGCGAAAGAAUUGGGUGGACUAAGCGUGCUCACAAUUAACCAUUUAUAUGAUUUUGGAUCGGUUAUCCUUUAUUUUUCUGUAUGUCAAGUACACUAAAUAGCUAGUUAUAUAAUGAAUGUUUUUAGGCAUUUUCUUCUUUCAACCCCUUUUUCACCACCUUAGGGGAUGAAUUUGCAAAAACGCUGAAAUUUGUUUUCUUGUAUUUUAAUAUUUUUACGAAGUUUUGAAUUCCUAGCUUAAAAUUAAACUUGAACCCCAUACAAACUUUCAUCCCCUUUUUAACCCCCUUAGGGGUUGAAUUUCUCAAAAUUGCUUCUCAACUCUUGUACUCUUUAUAAAUGCAACCUAGUGUAUAAAUUUCAAUAUUAUAGCAUUUGCAGUCAGUCAAUCAGUUAGGACACGUGCAUUUAUAUAUAUAUAUAUACUAGCUGUUGCCCGCGACUUCGAACGCAUGCAUUUGUAUGUUAGUGGUUAUAUACAUGAGCAUAUAAUAUUAUGCAGCAAAAGGUAGCAGUAGGGACGGUUAAUCACUUGUUAAUAAUUAUACAACGCAUGAGAUUUGUCUGACACAACCUACGAAGUUUCAAGCCCCUAAGUAAAAAAAUUGUUCUCGAUAUAAUCCCUCUCAAUCCUUUAAGAAGAUUUUCAAUUUUUUUUCACUAAUUUAGGGGAUUAAUACAAACUUUCAAUGAACGCCAUUUUAACUCCCUUGGGGAAUUAAUUUCUAAAAACGCUGAAAUCACUUUUCUUGUUUCCUAUUAUUGUGUCUUAUUGUUUACGACAUUUCAAGAUCACGAAUUACAAAAAAAUUCAUUCCCGAUGCAAACUUACAACCCUUUUUUCACUAACUUAGGGAAUGAAUUGUCAAAAAAGGUGAUAUGUCUCAGUUUUCGUCUAUUUCUAUAUAGAGGUAAUGCCUGUUUACCAAGUUUUAAGUUCCUAGCUUAAAAGAAUACCACAUAUAAAUUUCUAUCUCCUUUUUAACCCCCUUAGGGAUUGAAUUAUCAAGAACGUUAAAAUAACUUUUUUUAAUCUUCCAUCAUGUUUUUCUAUGAAGUUUUAAAGUAUUUGUAAUGGAUUCAAACUUUCAACCCCUAUUUAACCCUUUUAGGAGAAGAAUUUUUACAAACGCUGAAAUUAUUUUUGUUUUAUUCUAAUAAUAUGCCCAUAUACAAAGUUUCAAGUCCCGCACUCAAAUAAAUGUUUGACCUCCAUACAAACUUUCAACCCCUUUUUCACUAGCUUGGGGGAUGAAUUUUCAAAAACUCUUAAAAUAGUUUUCUUUUCUUUUAAUGAAGUACCAAUUUACAAGUUCCUAGCUUAAGUUAAAUUUUAAACCUGAUACAAAUUAUCAACCCCUUUUUAACCCAUUUCGGGGAUGAAUUUUUAAAAACGCUGAUAUAACUUUACUUGCAUUCUAAUAAUAUGUCGUGAUACAACGAUUCAAGUCCCGCACUCACAAAAAUGUUUGAUCUACAUACAAAAUUUCAACCCCUUAUUCACCACCUUGAAGGAUGAAUUUUAAAAAACACUGAAAUUAUUUUUCUUCUUUUUUAAUCAAAUAUCUGUUUAUGAAGUUUCAAGUUCCUAGGUUAAACUAAAUUUUGAACCCCAUACAAACUGUCAACCUACAUUUAACCCUUUUAGGGGAUGAGUUUACAAAACGCUGAAAUACUCUUUUUUUUCCAAUACUAACAAUAUGCCUUUAUACAAAGUUUCAAGUCCUGCACUCAAAAAAAUGUUUGAUCUCCAUACAAACUUUCAACCCCAUUUUCACCAGUUUGAGGGACGAAUUUUCAAGAACGUUGAAAUUACGUUUUCUUCUAUUUUAAUAAAAUCCCUUUUUACAAAGUGUCAAGUUCCUAGCUUAUAAUAAAACUUGAACCCCAUACAACUUUCAUCCCCUUUUUAACCCCCUUAGAGUUUGAAUUUCUCAAAAUCGCUUCUGAGCUCUUGUACCUAAGUGUAACCUAGUGUGUCAAUUUCAACUUUCUAGCAUUUGUAGUUUCGGCUCUGCGUUGAUGAGUCAGUCAGGACACGUGCAUUUAUAUAUAUAGAAUAUAGAAUUAUGUUGGAUACGAUACUUCAUGUAAAAAUACUAAUUUACAUGUGCCGAACGAUGUUUCCCGCUCUAACCCAUAGCCGCGUUCUUAUCGGACGUACGUUGAUUAGCUUGUUAACAGAACAGGGAACCCCCGCAAUAUAGCUCAAAUGUUGCCACAUCUGUAAAAUCUAAAGCCCUGUACUCACAGGCCCUCUAGUCUUUCUAAUGUCCUAGAAUUCAUAAAAGGCCUGUUUUAAACUGAAGUUAGUUACAAAUUCGCCGGUUACCUGUUUUUUCUAACCAUAUUCGUUAAAAAGAGAGCUAUAUAUAUUGUAAAUUGUAGCAUAGUAAAACGCGCCCGUUAUUUACACGCUAUUAUGUAAAGCGCUUAAAUGACGCAGCGCCCGCGCAUUGACUUGGACAUUAAGAGGUUAUAUUGUGUAGCUAUUUCAGAUCGUUGCGAGCUGUACGUGGAACCGACUGUUGAUCAGACUUGUGCAUCAGAGCAUAAUAUACAAAUAUGGGGGAUCAAGAAAAGGCCAUUAAGAACGGUGCAACUUUUGGUUUAGCAACGGGUGCCUACACUGGGAUGGCGAUCGGAGGCGUCGUCGCGGGACCGCCAGGAGCGGCCAUUGGCGGCUUAUUUGGAGCCGCGGUGGGCACGAUAACGGGCGGGACUGCGGUUGCCAUCGCUAACAGCAAGAAGAAAUGAGGACAUUGCUCUGCAGAUUAUGCAAACAGUAAAUUAUUAACUAAAAUAGAUGUCAUAUACCAAACAAAAACUGACAAAGUCUUUCAGUGCCAGGGUAGCCUAAGGGUUCCAAGGCGUAAGCCACAUAAGGGGCCGUUCAUACGUAAGAUCCCAAAGAACAGAAUAUAAAAUAGUACUAUCGUACAGAAACGACACGUCCUACAAAACCGAAAUUUGACAGCGAUUCAGGGACGAAUCAUGGUAACAGCAUGAUUUCUAAUGUAUGGCACUAUUCCUUUCGGCUAUUUAGGGUUGCCAAAAUUCAAAUACCAAACAUUUAUUCAGCAAAUAGGCCACAGAGGCACUUUUACAUGUCCAUUUUUACAAACAAUAAAAAUUACAAAUAUGGAAUCGAUGAAAUAAAAAAUAAAUGUCAAAUUACACAAAAAAAAACUAUGAUAAAAAAAUAAAACCAACAAAUACUAAAAUUCUUUAGAGAUGUAUAAGUCUCUAAGUGUCAGAGAUAAGAUAAAAUAUAAAAAAAGAUAUUAAAUUAUCCUUAGAGAUGUAGAGGGUCUCCAAGGCUUGAAUUCUUAUAUAAAUAAUUAAAAGACAAAAAAUUAAAUUAGACAAGAACCGAAUGAUAAGUGUCUCACGUUAAUGCCACUCAAAAGUAAAGUUACAUACUUAUAACAUAACAUGUAGCCCGUGUAAGCUUAAACAGACCGGUCUCCACAAACAGCACCCGUUCACGAGUAUGACGUGUAUCUCAGCCAUCGCCUCCCUCAACCUUCAUUCGGGAAAGUGGCGGGAAAUUCAAGUCAUUAUCUGUGGUUAUGCACGCAUAGGGACGUCAAGUUGUGCCAACCCUAAUAAUUGCUCGGAGCAAUGCUGAGCCGAACGGAGCCGAGAAUGCCCGAAAGGAGGAGUGUCGCCCCACCGCCCAAACAUGCGCAAAGUUAAGAUUAUACCUUGAAAACCUAUUAUUACAGUGAUCUUCUAGUGGAAGGUCCACUUUCCGAGUGGGUUUUGAGAUCAAAAUCUUAAGUAAAGAUGAACGACAAAGAAAAAUUUCGAGAUGAAAUCAAAACUGAUAAUUACAAAAAGUCCAAAAUUAGGUACUUUAGAUUCUUACGUAAUAAAUAUUAAACAGAGGGGAGGGGUUGGCAUAUUCUUAUUUUUUCUUACCAGGGGGGUCAAAAAUGGCCAAAAUUGCAAUAAAUAGCACAUAUUUAAGAUGAAGCCGCCGUUUCGAAUCCGGCCUCCGCCACUGGAGGCCUUUGUCAUUAUUUUUUUGGUAACUACUUAUAUGACAUCAAUUUCAGUUUAUGAUUUAUAAAUAGGAGUGUGACCUCUUUAAAAAUACAAAUUAAAGUACAUAUUUAGGUAUCAAAAUAUUUUGAUGUGUUCUGCAGAUUUUACGAAAACAAAUCAUGUAUGUUUUUUAUUGGCAUUACUUUUAGCUAUAAAGGUGUCUUAUAAAUUAUAUGUUAUAUUUUAAAUUUAAAAUGUUGCUUCAUUUCAUAGCCAUCUAUAGUACAUUGUUAACCAAGAGAUUGAAAGGCGCCCAUUUCUUCCCUUUCACCCGAAACACUCUACUUUUCAUGUCGAAUAAGUACGAAGAAAGUAAAAUACAUGUACUAUGGAACGUAGAGUUAGGAACGAAAUCUCCAUGUACUAAAAUGUGUCCCUCAAAAAACUUUAAAUAGGUGCCGCAACAAUACCUAGAAUAUUUGAAAAAAAAAAUUCUAAUCAUAGACAGCGCACUUUACACCGUCAAUAACGUCUAGGUUCUCUCUCGCUACUCUAGCGCUAGUCUGGAGAGUUUUGGAACUAUUAUUUAACAGCUGUACACUUUUGCAACAGUUCUGCCUAUGGAGAUUCCAUUCCUUAAUUCAACCUUCCAUAUACAUGUGGAAAUAUAAGAAAACACGGCUAAGUAUACACUUCAGAAGUAUUUCAUGAGCGUACUUGUAAUUAACAAUUUAGGUAAAACUAGCGUUAUUUAAAGCGACUUUAAGAAAUAACAUGAAAUUUGACAUGAACAUUUAAGUAUCAUAUCUGGGGGCUUAGCCAAGAUGGCAAUCGUACAUCGAGAAACGCUAAACGAAAAGAUGAAGUGUAUCGGUAUGACAGAUGCUAUGAAAAGUCACGUGACUAUUUCCAUACAUUAUGUUUUGAUUGGCGUUUUCUAUCAACGGCUGUCAUCUUGUACUAGUUUUCGUUGCAAAAAAUUGUAAAACUAAGAAAUUAGAAUGAGUAGAAGUUUGUUUGAAUGAAUGAAUAUGUUUUUAUUUCAUGUAACCAUGGACAAAUUCUAUAAGUAGAACUGUCAGACCAAGAUAAGUUGGCAGCAAUUUUAACAGCCCAGACAUUGGAAGUGUUAUUUUAAACGUCAUAAUUUACGUUUACUUAACACUUACACAGGCCGGGCUAUCAAAAUCGUCGCCAAUUUGGCUUGGUUGGACUCUAAAAACUAAAAGGUUAGUAGGUUACACUUCCAAUAUGUUUGGGUUAGCGUUAUACAUUACUAUUCCAAAUUUCAAAUCGAUAGCUUAAGUACUUCUCGAGAUAUUUAGAAUAGGACGGACGGAGUUGCACCAUAAGGAUUCCUUUAGUACCUUUUUGGUACGGAACCCUAAAAACACUGACAGGAGAAUGCAAUCCCACGCAGUGCCACAAGUCGGGAGACUUAACCCUGUCUCCUAUAAUUCGUAGGAUGCUCUUAUUGUUUUUACACCACCUUCAAAAUUUUAUGCCAAAUGUCAUGUCAUUUGUUCAUGUCGUUUUAAAAUGAGAAUUGAUGAAAAAAUGAUUAUUUACAGUAACAGUAGUUCUUUGGUGAAGAAAAAUAUAAGUUGCAUUAAUUCCUUUAGGCAAUAUAAAUCAAUUUCAACUCAAUUUCAAUUUCAAUAUAGUUCCCCCAGGGGGUGGAGAGUUCAAAAAAUAGUCACUUUCGUACAAGAAAAAAGUACAGCGUACAGCGCCAGAUCUUGAGAUUACGUUAACCAGCGAACGAGUAUGAUCUAAUAUCUAAUGGAAAAGUGCCAAGGUGAUUAGGCGAUCAAGAUAAAGCUAUAAACGAAUCUUAAAUAUGGCAACAUUUUCUAAAGAUACGACGGGUAUUCCCCUUUACCUUCUCUGUUCAUUGUUUAAGCUGUAAUGUACGUAACAGACGGCCGUAGGUAUUGGUAUAGGUAUAGAUAGAUAGAUAGAAUACUCUUUAUUGGCACACCUCAGUAAAAAUAUACAAGAAAAAUAAACAAUUGAUUAAAUUAUUAUUAUUAUUUGUAUGUCUCUUACAAAUUCUCGGGACCAUGGGGUCCCGAGCAUUUUGAAGGCGUGCGUGGGGCCGAAGCCAACACGUAGAGGCCCCUUGUAAUAAGACAAUUUACUCUAAAAGUAUUGUGACACCAACCGACGAUUAUCCCUGUUCACACUAUAGCAGUGCACCCACGGACAAGCCCAGGCUAGUGUAGGACUAUUUGUAAAAAAAAGGUACAAAAAGAAACCGGGCUAUUGGGUUGAGUUGCUAGUGGACUGGUAACCGAGACUAUAGAGGUGACUAUGGCACCCGCCCUGAUCAUAUGUUAUUAUUAUUAUUAUUGGUUUUUUAUUUUGUUUUCUUUAAAAAAAUGUAACCGUAGAUCCGUACAUUAGUUGAAAAAUUAACGUGGGCACCCUGGUAGAAAGAAACAGUUGUCUCCCAUCUCCCUCGAACUAUCUCGCUAGGUAGGUUUGCAGGCAAGAAAGCAGUCUAGUUAAAAAAAUACUUUGUCUAUGGUAGCAUGAUCCAAUGGCUUGUAAUUAUGGCAGCACUAACGCAGCAUUCACAUUAUAUUAAAAUAAAUAUUAUAACAUCUUUAACAGUAUCUGUAUAUUAAAAUAUAAAUAAAUAUCUACUAAUUAUUUUAGUUUUACUUAAAAAAAAAAAUCAAAUGUAAAUUUCAUUUACUUAUUUAAGUUAUUUUUUUAUGAAUUGGUAAAGUUGUUCCGGUAUUUCGUGGAACGGAAUAUUCGGGUAGUCCCCGCAUCCGACACAAAGGACUGAUGAAAUAUGGAUAAAAUAGCCUGGGCGUAGUCUGAACUCUGAACGCGGCCAGAGCGGGCUCUGCUCUUGCGCAGUUUUUAUAUUUGAGGUUAUUUACCAGUGAAACUUUACGUCCAGAAGGAUUAUCUGAACAAAAUGGGUAAAGGAAACAAAGAGAGGAAGACGGCAAUUGAAGCCGGCACCGCCGUCGCAGGGGCCGGAUACGGCGGCGCUAAAGGUGCAAGCGCUGGUGCUACGUACGGGGCCUACAUCGGGUGCUGCGGGGGACCGCCGGGGGCCGCUUGCGGGGCCGUGGUCGGCGGCAUCGCUGGCGGCGUAGUUGGUGGCGUCAGCGGCUACAUCGCUGGAAAAAUCGUCAACGAAGUCAUUGAUUAAAUCGAUUAAGCUGUAACGCGCGAAUUUAUCUGGGUGCUUAGCUAAGAUGACAAUCGUUGACGGGAGACGCUGGCGAGGCUUAGUGUAUGAAAAUAGUCACGUGAAUUUUCGAAGUUUCUAUCAUCCCGAUACAUUUUUUUUGUAUGGCAUUUGUCGACUUUCGAUUGUCAUUUUUGCUAGCCCCCCGGACCAGAUCCAUGUUUUACCACGCUGACAUUGACAAUUCACCGUAUAGUGCUGAUCCAACAAUUAAACAUUAACUCUAUGUACCUACCGUUGUUAACUAUCGACCCAGAAAUGGAUAGGAAUUUGUCAACGUUAGGUGUCAGUUGUCAACUUGUCCACGUGGAGAAACAAACCAAUUUCUUGUUUAUCAACUUGUAGCUACACAGAAAUUAAUAUUCUUCAAAAAAAUUUUUUAUUUGUUUUUAUAUAAAAUUAAAAUUGUGGUGAAAUAAAUAUUUUUAGUUUGUCUUAAAAA